UACGUAGGGUCCGAGCGUUGUCCGGAGUUACUGGGCGUAAAGGGUGCGCAGGCGGUUCUGCAAGUCAGGCGUGAAAUCCCCGGGCUUAACCUGGGAAUGGCGCUUGAAACUACGGGACUGGAGUAUGGCAGAGGGAGGUGGAAUUCCACGUGUAGUGGUGAAAUGCGUAGAGAUGUGGAGGAACACCGAUGGCGAAGGCAGCCCCCUGGGUCAAGAUUGACGCUCAUGCACGAAAGCGUGGGGAGCAAACAGG
rnacentral:rRNA from 1 species